GGUUAAGCGACUAAGCGUACACGGUGGAUGCCCUGGCAGUCAGAGGCGAUGAAGGACGUGCUAAUCUGCGAUAAGCGUCGGUGAGGUGAUAUGAACCGUUAUAACCGGCGAUUUCCGAAUGGGGAAACCCAGUGUGUUUCGACACACUAUCAUUAACUGAAUCCAUAGGUUAAUGAGGCGAACCGGGGGAACUGAAACAUCUAAGUACCCCGAGGAAAAGAAAUCAACCGAGAUUCCCCCAGUAGCGGCGAGCGAACGGGGAGCAGCCCAGAGCCUGAAUCAGUGUGUGUGUUAGUGGAAGCGUCUGGAAAGGCGUGCGAUACAGGGUGACAGCCCCGUACACAAAAAUGCACAUACUGUGAGCUCGAUGAGUAGGGCGGGACACGUGGUAUCCUGUCUGAAUAUGGGGGGACCAUCCUCCAAGGCUAAAUACUCCUGACUGA
rnacentral:rRNA from 1 species